rnacentral:rRNA from 1 species
GACGAACCGUGCGAACGUUGUUCGGAAUCACUGGGCUUAAAGGGCGCGUAGGCGGGUGAUCAAGUCCGGGGUGAAAUCCUCCAGCUCAACUGGAGAAUAGCCUUGGAUACUGAUCGUCUUGAGGGAGGUAGGGGCAUGUGGAACUUCCGGUGGAGCGGUGAAAUGCGUAGAUAUCGGAAGGAACGCCGGUGGCGAAAGCGACGUGCUGGACCUCUUCUGACGCUGAGGCGCGAAAGCCAGGGGAGCAAACGGG